rnacentral:lncRNA from 1 species
GACUACCGUUGCACUUGGGAAUUACUUGAGUUCUCUGCUUGUAACAAUUGUCAUGAAUAUUACAACCAAGAAUGGGAAACCUGGAUGGAUACCAGAUAACCUGAAUUAUGGUCACCUUGACUACUUCUAUUAUCUUUUGGCUGUGCUGAGUGUACUGAAUUUGGGAGCUUAUCUCAUGAUAGCGAAGUGGUAUACUUACAAAAGGCCAGUGGGAACUCUGCGUUGAAGGUUGAAGUGGCACAACAAAAGUAAGCUUCUUAUAUUUUGGGUUCAAGAACCUGUAAAUAUAGUUUGAUUGGAAAAUCAUAUGUUGUACACAAACAUAUUUUCUGUAAAACUAGUGAACUGCCACCACUAUCAAUAUGAUGUCAAAGACAUCAGUUUCUGUAUGAUCUGUUCUACUUGUAACACCUCCCACUUAAGACUGAUAAACAUGAUCAUAUUUAGUUUUUCUUUCUGAUUCUCUAGCUCAAUGGACUCUUACAAAGGUUCAAUCCUUGUUAUCUUAAUUUAUCUCUAUAAUAAGGGCAUUUUAUCUAAGUAUUCUUGAUUAUGCUCGAUUAAUAAGAAUCUGAUUUGAGUUCACAAUAUAUAUAUGGCCCUAAUGUAUAACGGUGGGAUAUAUUUGAUAAAGAAUUCAAACGGAGGAUAAAUAUGGCCUAUUUUUAAUAGUACAAGGAUAUAUUUGACUCUUAACCGUUUCUUCUUUAUCUAUUUAGCUUGACGUCUUAGACUGCAAUUCUGCUGGGUUUUGGGUACCAAAUAACAACAACAACCCAGUAUAAUUUUAUUUAAUGGGAUUUGGGGAGAAUAGUAUGUACGCAGACUUUACUCAUUUCUUUGGAUAUAGAGGUUGUUUCCAAAUAAAUCCGGUCAUCCUUCACUCCAAUAACUUCCCAUCUUGCUCUUGGAGACUCGAACUCACAGCCUCUCGGUUGGAAGUGGAGUUGUUUAUUUGGGAACCAAAUAAACACUUUCGAAUUCAAGUAUGUACUAUACCCUUUUUGUAUCUCUCUCUUGGUUUAGAUUUUAACCUGGUUGUUAGUUUUCAAUUUAUUUAAAGUGGUUUUUUUUAUCAAACGAUUAGCAUACAGAAAUUUUGUAAUUUGAGCUUUUCAUGUUUGAUUGUCCAAAUUUUAUUAUUUGUUUAUCAAAUGAUUAGCAAUUGAUCGAGUGUUUAUAGUUUUCAACCUGCUAAACAUCUACUUUUGCAGUAUGCAGAAUGACAUGGGAAAAGUUUCUGGAGAAGAUGAUUUGUAUAGAUGGAACAGUUGAUUACCGCAAUAAUCCAGCUAAGAAGACUGAAACUGGGACUUGGAAAUCCUGCCCUUUCAUCUUAGGUACUCAUGCUCGACAUUCUCAAUUUUUUUUCCUUUUUCAUUUUCCUCCUUUUAGAAUAUUAUUUAUUUCAUGGAUUAACUUGUAUGUUCUGACAGAUUAAAAACAAUUUAUAUUCAAAGUAAUUUAACAUGUGUUUAGCGGGUAACCUGUCUUAUUAAAGUUACUAAUCCAGAAUUUUAUGGAAGGUUACCUAUAAUUAUGUUUAAGAUAACCAGAUAGUGGAAUUCUUCUGUAUGGUUUGGUUUGAAUACAAGUUAUGCUGGGAUUAGUUAUACCGGAAUUAGUUUUGUUGAGAUCAAUUAUACUGGUAUUAUUUCUUAUCGACUAUUUGCUACUAUGUUGUAUCAAUCCGGGAUGGUCAAUUUUACUAUUUUAUCUUGAAAUUACUAAUUGACCCUCUAGCAGCUAUAAGUUAUGCUGGUACUAUUUUUAAUUCUGAGAUAACUUGUGCGAGGAUUAGUAACCAAAUAAGGGAUAAUGCGGUACGAAUUUUUAUUCUGGACUUAUUUUUGCUUAUCCAUCGUACCAAAUGACCCCUUAGUUUUUUAUAGGUUUAUGGUUAGUAAUUUCCGAAGGGAAUAUUUGUUGGCAGGAAACGAGUGCUGUGAAAGAUUGCCAUACUAUGGGAUGAGCACAAAUCUUGUUCUGUAUUUCAAGAAAAGGCUCAACCAACACAGUGCUACAGCUUCAAAGAAUGUGUCAAAUUGGACCGGAACAUGCUACAUCACACCACUAAUUGGGGCAUUUCUAGCAGAUGCUUAUCUAGGAAGAUACUGGACAAUUGCCUGCUUCUCAAUCAUUUAUGUAAUUGCAAGUUUUAUAUCUAUUGAAGUACGUUAGCUCUUCACUAGACUAUGUAACUUGUUUGUGUUGAAUUGUGUGAUCACCUCCUUUAAAAGCUUAAGCAGGUAGUGAGAACAUAGUUUUAUUUAGUGAAUUAUGUUUCAUUACGCCUCUUAUGUGCGGGCCAGAUUCUUUUUUCAUGGGUCAAGCACGUGGAACUUUUUUCUUCUUUUUCUAGCAGUGACUUCAACCUAGGACCUUUGUCUAGUUUGAUACUAUGUUGUAUUGUGUAGCCACCUUUUCUAAAAGCUUAAAUGGCUAGAGAGAGCAAACUUUUAUUUAUUGUGGAAAAUGAGAAGAAAAACUUGGUCUAAUGUAAACAUGUUACACACACAAAAACAUGUAAAGGAUGAAUAAGCAGGAGGAAAAUGAAUUUUUAUGAGCCUAUGCCAAAGUGCUACCUUUAACUUGCUGAGUUAUAAUUGAUUCUCAUCAACUUAAAGGACGAAAGAAUAAAUAAAUAAACAAAUAAAUAAAUAAGUGUAUAUAUUUAUUUAUUUAUAUGUGUGUGUGUGUAAAACCAAAGUCUCAGCUUAAAUUCCUUUUAUCGGGAACUUAGAAGCAUAAAUAUAUGUCUCUUGCAGGGGAUGACUCUAUUGACAUUGUCAGCUUCUGUCCCAGGCCUAAAGCCAAGCAGUGAUCCAAAGGAAGUACAAACUGCAGUUUGCUUUGUUGCACUUUACCUCAUAGCAUUGGGCACUGGUGGGAUUAAGCCCUGCGUUUCAUCUUAUGGGGCAGAUCAGUUUGACGAUGCUGAUGAAGUUGAGAAGAAACACAAGUCAUCUUUCUUUAAUUGGUUCUAUUUUUCGAUUAAUAUCGGUGGUCUUAUUGCUUCUUCAGUGCUGGUUUGGAUACAAGACAAUGUAGGCUGGGGAUGGGGUUUUGGAAUUCCAGCAGUGACUAUGGCCAUUGCUGUAGUAAGCUUCUUUUCAGGUACCCGAUUGUAUCGCAACCAAAAACCUGGAGGGAGCCCUCUGACUCGCAUAAGUCAAGUGGUUGUUGCGUCCUUCAGAAAAUUGAAAGUUGAUGUGUCUGGAGACAAAACUUCCUUGUAUGAGACAACAGAUGCUGAGUCUGCAAUCACAGGGAGUCGCAAGCUUGAUCAUACGAAAGACCUUCAGUGAGCAACUGUUGAUAUCAUUGAAGCUUUCCAUAAUUAUUUUUGAUGUAAUGAAUUUUCCCAAAAAACUAGUGACUGUCUAGGAAUGAGAAAAAUUAUUAACAUGAUCAUCUUUAUUACAGUGAAUAGUUCAGUAUUCUUGUGAUACUUUACCUGGACCUGGAAAUAUGUACACAGCGCACUGACUUGUUGGACCAAUUUUUUUGCUGUCCCCGUUGAUUAAUGUUGAAUUCUAUCAACUUUUUUCAGCAUUUUUAACGGUUCUCCUAUUUGCCAUGAUGGUAAAUGAUGAAACAAAUGAUUUACAACUGAUGUUAUCAUGCAGUUUCUUCGACAAGGCAGCAGUGCAGACAGAAUCUGACCAUAUGAAAGGCAAUAUAGACCAGUGGAGACUUUGCACCGUGACCCAAGUUGAGGAGCUCAAAGCCAUUAUACGAUUGCUACCUAUAUGGGCCACGGGGAUCAUAUUUAGUGCUGUAUACAGUCAAAUAAGUACCAUGUUUGUGUUGCAAGGAGCGUCCAUGGACACUCGCGUAGGAAAUUCCAGCUUCAAGAUUCCACCAGCAUCACUUAGCAUUUUCGACACUCUCAGUGUUAUAUUCUGGGUUCCCAUUUAUGACCAACUUAUUGUCCCAAUUGCUAGGAAGAUUACAGGUCACAAGAAUGGCUUGACACAACUACAGAGAAUGGGUACAGGGCUCUUCAUAUCCAUCUUUGCCAUGGUAUCGUUAUAUUCUGGGUUCCCAUUUAUGACCAAGUUAUUGUCCCAAUUGCUAGGAAGAUUACAGGUCACAAAAAUGGCUUGACACAACUACAGAGAAUGGGUACAGGGCUCUUCAUAUCCAUCUUUGCCAUGGUAUCUGCCGCUAUUCUAGAGCUCUUUCGGUUAAAACAUGUGAAAAAACAUAACUACUAUGAACUGGAGCAGGUCCCCAUGUCAAUAUUUUGGCAGGUUCAACAGUAUUUCCUUAUAGGCUGUGCAGAAGUUUUCACAUUCAUUGGUCAGUUGGAGUUCUUCUACGAUCAAGCACCAGAUGCCAUGAGAAGUUUGUGUUCGGCUUUAUCACUGACUACCGUUGCACUUGGGAAUUACUUGAGUUCUCUGCUUGUAACAAUUGUCAUGAAUAUUACAACCAAGAAUGGGAAACCUGGAUGGAUACCAGAUAACCUGAAUUAUGGUCACCUUGACUACUUCUAUUAUCUUUUGGCUGUGCUGAGUGUACUGAAUUUGGGAGCUUAUCUCAUGAUAGCGAAGUGGUAUACUUACAAAAGGCCAGUGGGAACUCUGCGUUGAAGGUUGAAGUGGCACAACA